rnacentral:rRNA from 1 species
GGGAUAGAAUUCCAGGAGUAGCGGUGAAAUGCGUAGAUAUCUGGAGGAAUACCAAAGGCGAAGGCAGUCCCCUGGUCCGAUACUGACACUGAGGUACGAAAGCGUGGGGAGCAAACAGGAUUAGAUACCCUGGUAGUCCACGCCCUAAACGAUGUCGAUUAGCCAUUGGAAGGACCCCUUUUCCUUUCAGUGACGUAGCUAACGCGUUAAAUCGACCGCCUGGGAAGUACGACCGCAAGGUUAAAACUCAAAGGAAUUGACGGGGACCUGAACAAGCGGUGAAUGAUGUGGAUUAAUUCGAUGCUACGCGAAGAACCUUACCUACCUUUGACAUGGCCAAAGUUCUACCGAGAGGCGGAAGUACUCGUAAGAGGAUUGGCGCACAGGUGCUGCAUGGUUGUCGUCAGUUCGUGUCGUGAGAUGUUGGGUUCAGUCCCACAACGAACGCAACCCUUAUCUUUAAUUGCUCCUAUUUUAACAGGCACUUUAAAGAAACUGCCAAUGAUAAGUUGGAGGAAGGUGGGGAUCACGUCAAGUCCGCAUGGCCUUUAUAGGUAGGGCUUCACACGUCAUACAAUGGUUAGAACAAAGAGCUGCAAAUUCGUAAGAAGGAGCCAAUCUCACAAACCUAACCUCAGUUCGAAUUGCGGUCUGCAACUCGAGCACAUGAAGCCGGAAUCGCUAGUAAUCGUGGAUCAGAAUGCCACGGUGAAUACGUUCUUAGGUCUU